rnacentral:rRNA from 1 species
UACAGGGGGGGCAAGCGUUGUUCGGACUUACUGGGCGUAAAGGGUUCGUAGGUGGCCAACUAAGUCAUACGUGAAAUCCCUCAGCUUAACUGGGGAACUGCGCCUGAUACUGGUUGGCUUGAGUGCAGGAGAGGAACGCGGAAUUCCAGGUGUAGCGGUGAAAUGCGUAGAUAUCUGGAGGAACACCGGUGGCGAAGGCGGCGUUCUGGACUGCAACUGACACUGAGGAACGAAAGCCAGGGGAGCAAACGGG